UUCUCUCGCACGCCUUUCACCCCUCCAUCUUUUCUUCUACCUCACGAAAGGAAACCGACACGGAAGAAAACCCCACUGCCACCAACAUUCUCACCAUGGCUCCGCCUCCACAGACCACCCCUCGCCGUUCUUUGGGCACCGGCAGAUGCGCCUUGAUGUCCUUGUUCUCCACGCUGGAGGAAUCGAGCUCAGACGCUCCCAGUCGCCGCCAAUCCCGCUGUUUCUUCUUCGUCUCCGGCAGCAAAUUUUGAUGAUUCCGGUCGGCCUAGUCCUUCCCCGACGACCUCGACCUCACCAACAUGUUCUGGCUUCUCACCGCCGGCGAGGAUGCGGUGCAUCCCCGACCAUCUGACCAACCUCAUCUGGACCGCCACGCCAAGGCGCACCUCCGACACUAGUUGCCUCGUCCCGGUUUGCCUAGCAUCGCUGGAUCCAUGCUCGACCAGAUCUCCGCCAUGGAAAUUUUGCCCGAGCUCUGCGUCGGGAUGUGUUUUGUUGCCGCGUGACUUUCUCUAAUCACAAAGCAAUCAAUAGCCUAAUGAUCCGGCUCCUACUGGGCCUCAGCCCACUUGCGCACCAGCUC